GAACGUGAGCCUUAGGCCUUGUUUAGUUCAAAAAAAUUUCGGAUUUCGCUACUGUAGCACUUUCGUUUUUAUUUAACAAAUAUUGUCUAAUCAUGAACUAACUAGGAUUAAAAGAUUCGUCUCGCGAUUUACAGACAAACUGUAUAAUUAGUUUUUGUUUUCGUCUAUAUUUAAUGCUUCAUGUAUGUACUGUAAAAUUCGAUGUGACGUGGAAUCUUGAAAACUUUUUGGAUUUCGGGAUGAACACAAGCCCUUAGCAAAAACUGAAGAGUUACCUAAAACGUAAGUAACUGAGAUACGGAUGGAGUAGAAAAGAAUAUUUGCCCGAACCGCCGUCUCGACCGUAGAGCUGCUCACCCAUUAUUAAAAACGUACGGAAAAUGCCGAGGAAAUCUUAGCUACCUAUUAUGACAAAAUAGUACUGUAGCUAUCUAGCGGUGAACGGCAAAUUAAAAUAAGAAUAUUAAAGUGUUCUCUCGAUUCUAGUUCUACUUUUUAGGUACAUAAAUUUUAUUAUAUACUUCAAUUUCGAAUGGAAGUUGUAUUUCAUUAAUAUGAACUGUACAACACGUUAGAUUAUUAAUAUAGAUCUGCUGAAUCUUGAUAAAAAAAUGUUGCAUCUAAUAUUCAUAAUAAGGUUUUGUUUUAGCACAGCUUCAAAUGAUUUUUGUUCCUUAUUUCCUUGCUACAAGGCGCAAGAGAGUUGAAGCUAGUAAAGUAAAAAAAAAAAGAAAAAGUCUACAUAACCAUCAAACUAUCUAGAGUGAAAUACUUCAUUCCUCAAACUAUAAUACCGGAUAUUCUACCCAUUAAACUUUUAAAACCGGUCAAAUAACCCCUCGAGUAGUUUUAAAGCAUGGUUUUGUCUUUUUUUAUAUUUAUUUCCGUUGAAUCUUUGAAAAAUCAUAAUAAAUUAUAGAAAAAUCAUAAAAUAAAAAAUUCAAUUUUGUUGGACUCUAGAUGAGUAGAUCUAAGUUGAGCAUGCAGCCUGCGGGCCAAAAGCAUGGUAAUUUAGCCCCGCCCGAGCACGGCCCGAUCUCGACCGUGCCCAUGUUGGCCUGAAGCAUGUAGCGGGCCAUGCUUGGGCUGACCCCUCGGCCCGCCGGACGGCACGACCCGGCACACUUUUAAUAGCAGACAUGGUGUCGGUCCGGU
rnacentral:lncRNA from 1 species